GUAUAAUUGGAGCCAUAAUCAUCUCAACAGGUCUUUAUGCUGUAAUGUGGGGCAAAUCAAGAGAAGAGAUAGAGGAAGAUGUUGGUAGCUCAGAGUCACCAUCUACAGAUAAUGCACCUCUAUUGCAAAGCUGUAGAAUUGAAACUUUUGAAAACAAAACAAAUGGAAAUGUUUAAAAAUAAGGUUAUCUAAUCUAAGGAAUUGUAAUGUAAGAUAGAUGCGCAGUAAAAAUAUGACAUUUUGAGCCAAGUGAUACAUGUACAAUUGAUAAACUAUAUUCUGACCUCAAAAUAAUUUAAGAAUUAAGUCCUCUAAAAAGAAAAAAGAAUUUAAGAUUUUUUUAUUUUUUUUGGAUAACAAGAGGGCCUAAGCCCAACAAAGAAUGAAAUUACUGCCUAACAAUACGCGGAGUACAAACACCAGUUAAAUCAGCUAAAAACAAAAUACUAAUUUGAGCAGGACAAUGCUCAUAUAACAUCAAAGUGAAUCCUCCAUCACAAGCUAUAUUUGCAAGUGCGUCAGCACAAGCAUUAUCUUCUCUGUAAGAAUUUAAGAUUUAAGUCAUAAAUAAAAAAGACAAAAAUCAAAGAUCGUCCGUGAAUUAAAGAUAGCCUGACAAUGAAUUGUUCCACCUAAGAAUCGAACUUUGGUUCUCCCAAACGGGUCGUCCUUUAUUUUUGCAUCAUUGCAAGACUUAAAUGAAAUAAGAUCUAUAAGAUCUUGGAAUCUUGCAUUGAGUUUGUUGAGGACUUCUGCAUAGACGGCUGAUUUUAACUCUUACGAUGUGCAACAAACUAAUGCUCAAACAUGGAUUCACAUUGAUGGUCUUGCAUGUGAGUAUUGACUACCCACAAUUUUGUUUGAAAUAGUUGGGGCCUUAGGCAUUCCAUUGGCUCUUGAUGAGGCCACUAGUAGGACUUCAAUCACUUUGUAAGGAUACUAAUAAAUAUUGAUAAUAAAUAUUGAUUCGAAUUUUGAUUUGCAUGAAAGAAUCCUUGUUAAAAGGAUGAAUUAGACUUUUAUGUCGAUGUUGAAUACGAGAAACUUCAUCCUUUAUGCUACUCAUAUAAGAUAAUUAGACAUACUAUUCAGAAUUACAAUAUCAAAGUCUAAAAUUUCAGCAAGUACAAUAGUCGUGCACAAGCAACCUAUUGCUAAGCCUACUGGAUCAAAUGUUGAAGUUGAGAAGGUUGUCGAGGCUACACCUUUGGAGCCAGUUCCAAAAACGCAACUAGGAGAUGGCAUAUAUUGUUUAUGUAAGACAUGUCUUUACUCAUGAGGUAGAGAUAUCUCCUAUUAUUGUUAGAACAAUUCAUGUGCAGUUAGUGCAGGUGGAAGACAACUUUGAUCAUCCUAUUCUUCUGGCUGAGAAUCAAGAGGAAAACCAAUAGAGCAGCAACGAAAUUCCUCAAAUGCGUAUUAUUGGUCUUUGGAGUGAUAUGGUGAUAUAUUUGGAUUAUUCAAGAUACCCCAUUUAUUUGUGGCAUGAAUUCUUCCAAUGUCAUUGUUACUAAAUAUGUCUUAAAUCCUAAUGUCACUCAUGACUUUUAGAUUUUUUAAUCGUAUUGGAAGGGCAAUGAUUCCUUUGCCAAGGGGCCUCAAGUUUAUACCGAUGAGGAGGAGAGAGCGUCAACUAUCAAUUAUUUGUGAAACCACUAUGCUGUUAAUAGUCUUUCAUUGAGGUAACAUAUAUGACCAAGAAAAAAAAACACACAGAAGAGUAUUCAUGUUUAUAAUACCUUCUCUAGGGGAAGACAUCUAGAUUGAUUUGUUCUUUGUCUUUUUUCUUGGUUUGUUUUGCUUUUUACUUUCUUAUUAUUUUCUUUGUUAUGGGUAUGACUUUCAUCCUCCAAUAUUUGUUUAGUUUUUAUUGUUUCAGACGGUUUUGAUCCAUAUUCCCCUUCACCUUUUUUGUUGUUGUCUUUUUUAUUUAUUUUUAUAAUUAGGGUGUUGAACCCAUUUUGCCUAAAAGAAAUAAAAUAAUUACAGGCUUUAAUUUCUAUAGUUUUUAAUUUUUUCUACCUAUUUUUCCACCCUUCUGUUCCUUCAAUUGGCUAAAGAAAUAAUCAAAUAAAAUAAUUUUUAAAACUAUCUUCUUUUUUUUUUUUUUUGACAAAAAAGAAACUAUAUAUUUGAAUGCUAUAGGUUCAUUUGCAAAAAUUAUUUUAUGAAGAUGCUAAAUCUAAAUUAUUAUAGAAACGAAGGUGUCAUUUUCACCGUUGUUUGUAUAAUUAUAUCAUGAACCUAAUAUGGGCCCAAUUUUUCAUGCAAAUGGUAGCAACAUAAUACUAACUAAUUAACAAAAUGUUUGAUAUAUUAUGCCAACACCAUCAUGACUCAUGAGUAACAUGACUAAAAACAAUAUAAUAGUAAGCAAGUGUGAUAUAUAUUAAUUUAAGACAAUGAGCUUUAACUUUUAUUUUGGUUUUGAUUAUAAUGGUCCAACUCAAAACCUCAUCAAAAGCAUCUAACAACAUUCUGAACUUCAACAAGGUUUGUGAUUGUUGUAUAUAGGAUAAAACUUAGAACACAUAGAAAGAUGACAAGAAAACGGUCCUUUUACAUGGAUUUUCUGCCACCUGUUGUGAUUAUAGGCAAUGAAUGUGUUGACAUGGCUUUACUGACUUUGUUCAAAGCAGCUACACUUCAAGGGAUGAACAAUCAUGUCUUUGUUGCCUAUGCUUAUGCUGUUGCAACUUCUUUUCUCCUUCCUAUCACUUUUUUUAGAAGAAGGUAAGUUUGACAGAAUCACGACGUUAGAAUAAAGUUUUGGUAAAAUCAAAAUUCAUUGAUGUUUCAACAAAAUAACAAUAUGACCUUAAUUUUGUCAAACUCGCAAUGAUUUCAAACAUUAUACUUAAUUUUAUUAUUUUUGCAGAUCAAGAGUGGUUCAUCCACUCAGUUUCUCCAUAAUAUGCAAAAUUGUGCUUCUUGGAGCGAUAGGGUAAUUGAAAAAUAGCAUUUUGUUAAUAUAAAUUUAUUAUAUUUGGUCUUCAAUUUUAUGGUUCUCAUGGUUUUGUUUAUGUUAAACAGAUCUUCAUGUCAAAUUAUGGGGUAUAUUGCUAUUAAUUACAGUUCUCCAACACUUUCUGCAGCAAUUGGUAAUCUUGUACCUGCUUUCACUUUCAUGUUAGCUGUUAUUUUCAGGUUUGCAAAUUUUAUUUUAAUUUAACACAUUUCUUACCCUUAUGAAUAAAUUUAUUUUAAUACAUGGUAAACACAUUUUAGCUGUUCUAUUUUGACUGAUUCAUGAUGAUUUUAGUCUUAAAUUUGAAAAUUUGGUAGCUCAAUUUUCAAAUCUUAAGAAUUUCCCUAUCAAGAAAUUUGAGGGUCAUGUUGUGUCAAGUUGAAUGAUGAGUUGACAUGUCAACGAGGGACCUGACAAGUGUGGAUUAAAUUUUAUUAUUUAAUUUUUUCAUGUCAUUAAAAUGCUGUUUAAAAAUAAACUUGAACUGACAAAAUUUAAAACCCUACAAAAAAAAUAAGAUUCUCAAAAACCAUACAUUGUAACAUCACAAAUGAUAUGUCCACUUAUGCUCACGUGUAGCUACUUGUGUCAGAAGUGCAUGGAUAAUUAGAUAAUAGUUGGUGUCUUUUCUUUGCUACGUUUCCAAACUCUACCACCGUAUCUUAGAGCAAUUCUUUCUUUUUUUCAAGCAUUUUUCUCUAUAAAUUAAUCAAAUAAUAAACGAACAUUUUAUUUACCAUUAUAAUUGUUACCAACUACUUCAUAUUUACCGUUGCAUAUUUAAAAUUAGGACCGUUGGACUAUUUCAAUAUAUUAACUCCCUUUAUCAGUUUUUUUUCUUUGUUAUAAAAUUUAGUUUUACUUCAUUUUUUCAUUCACAAACUUCACAAUCAUUUCCAACUUCAUUCCCUUCACACAUAAAAAAAAAAAAAGACAUUCUUAACUUUUCUCUUUAUUCACAUUCAAUAUCAAACUUCUCUUGAAAUGGAUCCUUCCAAUCCAUCUCAUAUUGCAAAAAUGUUCAUGGAUUAUAUGAAUGAUGGCAUGGAUGAAGAACUUGUGAGGCUUUACUUUGAAAGUUUAUCCGCAAGAAGAGUUUGCAAGCUCAAGUAGGCCUAGAAGCCAAAGAAGGAACAUAGAGAGGAAUCGUGAAGAAGGAUAUAAGCGGUUAUUCAACGAUUAUUUUUCAGAAGCUCCGGUUUACAUGGAUGAGUAGUUUCGUCGAAGGUACCGAAUGCAUAAACAUGUCUUCCUUCGCAUAGUUGAAGCUCUUGGUCAACAUGAUGAAUAUUUUCAGCUGACGGUUGACGCAACUGGUAUCACAUUUCCCAAUACCAUUAUGUCAAAUUUUUACUUGGUACCGUAGUACUGCAUUGCUAAGGUGAUUUUUCUGUUUUCUUUGAUAAACUUAGUGUUAGAAAAAAUUUCAUAAAUUUUAAAACUUGGAUGAUUAUGUUUCAGAUUUAAAAUGAAGAGGCUAAAAUCAUGAAUCAGGAAAAAUAGAGAGACUAAAUAUGUAUUAAAUCUAAAGUUUAAUAAAGUUCAAUGAAAAGUGUUAGACUAAGUACAUAUCACAUAUUCUCUCAGUUUCUCUAUCAAGAAAGAAGAUUUUAAACUACAUGUAUACUCUACAUUAAACUUAGUCUGUUGUCCCCUUAUUUUGUUUGCUCUUAUAAUUGUAAUUAAGGAUGGAAAAGUUAGCUGCAAAGAGUAGAAGUAGUAAUGCUAAGAUACUGGGGAGCAUAAUCUCAAUAGUAGGAGCUUUUGUGUUGACUUUUUACAAAGGACCAUCCAUCAUGCAUUCCUCAUCUCUUCAUCAACCAAUUGGCUUUCUCAAGUCAGUUGAUUCAAGUUGGGUCAUUGCUGGCAUUCUUCUAACAGUUGAAUAUCUUAUGUUUUCACUAUGGUACAUUUUACUGGUAGGAUUUGUGGAAUAUUUUGUUCAUAUUUUAAACAUAAAAUCCCACAUUGCUAUUUGUGGAGCAUUGUUAGACUCAAUCUUUGUUCACGUAAUUCAACCAAUUGUGUCCACCUCUACGACAAUAGAGCAAUUAUAGUUUGAUACAUUUCUUUUGAUGAAUUAGGGUUUACAAAGUAGAUAUAGUACUAUGGGUCAAAUUACAACAAUACCCAUGAACCGUACCACUGGAUGCUAUCGCCCCUCCACCCUCCCCCAACAACAAUUGGGUCUAAAACACAUUUGGGUCAAACGCAAGGGCAUGGGUUGAGGGAGCUUUGCAACACUCCGCUAGCUCAACCUUGUUUCUGUCCCUUGUCCCUCUUAUGUGUCUAUAUACGAGUCAUACUACCAUCUAUACAUGUUCUCUUCCUCUUCCUUUAUCUCUCCUCAUCAGUAUUAUUUCGUAGUUCUUUUAUUUGGGUUCUUGCUUGAAAGAACAUGUUGAAUAUUGAGAGUUUUUCCAUCUUAUGCAAAUCGAUUAUCAAGGUGGUUGUGCUUUCAUGUGUAUCCCUAAUACUUUGUGGUUUAUUAUAUAGGUUCAUGAUUCAUAUCUAUGGUUUGUGACUUGAUUCGUGAUACAUGGUCGGUAGUACGAGAGAUAUUAUAAUUUUUUAAUGACAAAUGUUGCUAACGAAUAGUAUGUUUGAAAGUGUGUGUUUAAUGAAACUGAAAGUAUUGCUAGUAUUACUCUCCUCUAAAGUAAGUUACUUGUUUUUUCGUAGAACCUAAAUCCUUUAUGUAGAGGAUUGUGCCUUAAAAUCAGUUGUGUAGGGUUUCAGGUGGUCGUGAAUCGAAACAUAAUAAGAAUAUGAAUCGAUUCACUAUGUGUUUUCCCCCUAUAAAUUAAGUUCUUUUACAACAUUAGACGCAACUCAGAAAAUAGAACCUAGAGAGAGGGGACACGAGAAAUCCUAGGGUUUGUGUGUUAAGAGCUCUUGGGGUGAGAUUUUAGGGUUGAAAAACAUUUGAGAAACGCCUUGGAUAGUGAGGAAUCAUUAGAGGAAGGAUCCAAAAUUUCUUUAGUGAGUUCUUGAGUGAUUCAUCUUUGAGUGGGUUGAGAGAGAAAAUGGGGAUUACUUUUGGGGAACAAUUAAGGAUAAUUGCUUGGUCACAUUUGUAACUCUUUUGUUCAUGGGAAGAGAUUGCAAAAGUGGCAAAAAAUGGGUUUUCUUGUUGAAUUUAAUUUCUUGUAACCUCUUUAAAUCUAUUUGUAAAGACUUAUUCAUAGUGGAUUGAAGAGUAUCUCUCUCGGACAUAGGUCAAUUUAGAACGAGACGGGUAAACAAAUUUUUGGCGUGAUCGUUCCUCUUCUCUUUAUCUUGUUCUUUGGUUAUGAUUAUGAAUUAGCUAUACAUCUAGCUAGGUUGCUAUAUUUACUAAUAUUGAUUAUUUUUGCUUGGACUGUUUUAAUUUGUUGGUUGCCUUUGUUAUUUGCUCCACGCAUCGUGUCAUUUGUUCUAAUUCACAACACUUUACAAGUACUUGUUUCUUCAUUUCUUCUUAUUUAAUGAGAGCUUAAUAAUUUUAGUUCUAAAGAGUUUUAGUUUCUAUAUUCAUUUCAUAGGUACAUGUUUUGAAAGAGUUCCCAGAUGAACCAACAUUAGUCUUGCUUUACUCCAUUACUGCCACCAUCUUAUCAACAGUUGUAGCAUUGUUAUCAGUUCCAAAUGCAAGUGCUUGGAAAAUAGGACUAAAUCUCUCACUCAUCUCCAUUGUUUCUUCCGUAAGAUACAUUUCAAACCAUAUUGCUUCACUACGACAAAAGAUUUUACACCUCUUAUUUAUAUACAUUUAUUUAAUUUUUAUAGGGAAUUUUGGGAAAAUUAAUAGGGAAUAUAGUUUAUGCAUGGUCAAUGCGUUUAAAGGGAGCUGUCUAUGUAACAUCAUUCAAGCCACUCCAAAUUGUUAUUUCUGUUGCCUUGAGUGUUAUAUUCCUUGGUGAUACUCUUCAUGUUGGAAGGUAUAGUUAAUUCAAUUUUUGAAUUGGAUUCUUGGCAUUGUUCUUGCUAAUUUUUAUUGUUCCAACUUAAUGACAUGGUUGUUGAGAAUCAUUAAUUUGUGCAUUUCUUUCUAUAGUAUAAUUGGAGCCUUAAUCAUCUCAAUUGGCCUUUAUGCUGUAAUGUGGGGCAAAUCAAGAGAAGAGAUAGAGGAAGAUGUUGGUAGCUCAGAGUCACCAUCUACAGAUAAUGCACCUCUAUUGCAAAGCUGUAGAAUUGAAACUUUUGAAAACAAAACAAAUGGAAUUGUUUAGAAAUAUGGUUAUCGAAUCUAGAUUCAAUUAUCAACCAAAAUUCAUGUAUGUUGAAUCAUGAAUCUAAUCUUAUAAUGAAUUAUCAAAUAG
rnacentral:lncRNA from 1 species